GAUACAUCAACAUAUCGUUUACCAUUCCGUGUAUCCGUUCAUCGUAUUCUUCAUUUUCCAUUGCCACUGUAACAUUGCCUUUAUCUGCAUCUUAUAUCAUGAUAUUGUUGUUUUCUUUCAAAAAUCUUUGGGUUUGUCUCGCUGUUCUGAGAAUGUAUCUAUCUCUUGGUGUUGACUGGUGCUUGUUAAUGUGGCUUUCUAUCAUCGAAGUUAAUUUAUUUCUCCCGAUCUCCUGUUCUUCUUUUAUCUCCAAUGUCUUUAUGCACUCUUCUCCAUGUGCAAUAUAUUGUAGUAUUCGAAAAUUUGCCUUCGUCAGGGGUAGUGAAAACUUUUUCCCACGUGACAAAAGCCACUUUACGUCGUCUGGUAUUAUUGUUUUCGUCUUGUUAACAAACCAAUUCUCGUUGAGUCCUAUUUACUGACACAAAAUCGAAUGUAGUAUAACAGAUCAAAUGCCAUGGAGAUGGAACUACCGGAUGCCAAAAAUUAUAUAUCGGAACCACCAAAAAUAAACUAAAAACUAGACUGGCAGGACAUAAAUCUGACAUUAAAUUAAAGAGUAGAAACACACACACACCAAAAAACGGCAUUUGCAGAACACUGUGCAACAGAACAACAUCAUGAGCCAGACUUAGAGAGAGUAAGAAUAAUAGAUAACGAGAUAAAUUACAAACAGAGACUAAUACUAGAAUCGCUACACAUCAUCAACACGACAACAACAAAACGCAUGAAUUACAAAGCAGACACAGGGAUGCGCGAGCAACUGUACACUGUUGGUACAACGAGUGAACAAAGUACAAUAAGAAACAAAACAGAAGCAAAGCAGACAAUGAAUUUUUAAGACGGUCGCAUAAAGUUUUUGUUUGUGUUUUGUUUCUCAUUUAGAUAUAUCAUAUCUUGAAAAUGCAUUUCAUUGAAAUGCGAAAUAUCGAUACACAAAACCAGAAAGACCUCGAGCUUGAAUUAAAAACAACAAUAUUGGCAGUAAAAUAUUUUAAAACAUUGUAUAUAUUCACCUCAAGCAAUUCAAUAUCACAGGAAGUGUUUAUUGCAUCACGCAGCUCGGAAUAUUUCCAUUUGGAUAAAUCAUAUUUUUGUUUGCCCAAAGCCUGUUGUUGGGCA